rnacentral:lncRNA from 1 species
GUGCUUGAGUUCAAACUAUUUGAUACCUCAAAUUGACUUGCUCUUGCAGCAUGUGACAUAAAGGAUGUGCAACAGAGGUUCCUGUGUCAAGCCAGUGCCUUACCAUGAGGUUAAGAGUUGAUGGUCAAAAUUGUUGGAGAUUUUAGUAGGUUGUGUUCAAUUUAGCCUAGGGUUUUUCAUGAUGGACUUUAGUAUGUUUAUGGAA